GUGGCGGUGGCGUAGUGGUAAGCGCUCCGAGGUAACUUCCAAUUUGGAGGUGGUGGGUUCGAUUCCCAUCGCCGGCACG